rnacentral:lncRNA from 1 species
UAUAUUUCUGGAUUUUGUUUUAGAUCUGUGCCCUGUGUGAUGUGAUGUCCUGACAUGUUAGUGAUGCAAAACCAUAACAUAAAGCUAUGUCAAGAUCUGGGAAGUCUGAGGAAGUUAAAUGGGGCGUAUCAAACAUUCCCUGAAGUGUGGUAGAAGACAGGAAGAAUGACACUUGCUAAUUUGAAUUUCAGAACACACCUAAACCAUAUUCUGAUCUCCAGAUAUCAGAUUGAGACACAGUCUGGUCAACCAAAAUUUAGAAGUCUGAAUUCCUCAUAGAGUCAGUGAAAAGGGGUAAGCACCUCUGAAGGGUGACUUGUGCAAACUGUCAAGUGGGAGAUUAUGAGUAUGUACCAUUGUGUUUGCCUGCAGCCUAAAUAUAUCUGAUGAACAGUACUUCUAUCAGUUUCAUUGUAUGUUUACUAUUAGCAAUGCCAACUGGCAUAUUUUACGUAUGUGGCUUAAAGCAAAAAAUUUAAAGAAUUACCAGGAUUACUGGCAUGGAUACUUCACAG